rnacentral:misc_RNA from 1 species
UGCAGGACACAUUGAACAUCGAUAUCUUGAACGCAUAUUGCGGCCUCGGGCAUUCCCGUGGCCACGCCUGUCUCAGGGUCGGUUAAACAUCAAUCGCGAGUCGCCCUCAAACUGCUCGCGCGCUGGAUCGUCGAGGCAGACACGCUCUUGCGCCGGCCGUCUCCCGCCGGCUUGUCUGUCGCGUCGUCCGAAGUGCAGACGGGUCCCACUGAGCGAAGGACCUCGCGUCCCGACGAACGGGACGGCGACUCGGAUCUCUCGUUUGAGAAGCCGACGCCGUUCGUCGCCAAAGCUCGACCGGACCGGACGUUGUGAAUCACUGUUCACUCAUACGACCUGAGAUCAGACGAGA